UUGACCUCGAAUCAGGUAGGAAUACCCGCUGAACUUAAGCAUAUCAAUAAGCGGAGGAAAAGAAACCAACCGGGAU
rnacentral:rRNA from 1 species